UAAUACGAACCGUACGAACGUUAUUCGGAAUCACUGGGCUUAAAGAGUGCGUAGGCGGCCAAGCAAGUUGGGUGUGAAAUCCCUCGGCUCAACCGAGGAACUGCGCCCAAAACUGCUUGGCUUGAGAAAGAUAGAGGUGAGCGGAACUAAUGGUGGAGCGGUGAAAUGCGUUGAUAUCAUUGGGAACACCUGAGGCGAAAGCGGCUCACUGGGUCUUUUCUGACGCUGAGGCACGAAAGCUAGGGGAGCGAACGGGAUUAGAUACCCCGGUAGUCCUAGCUGUAAACGAUGAGCACUGGGUCGAGGAGGCCUUCACACCUUCUCGGCCGUAGCGAAAGUGUUAAGUGCUCCGCCUGGGGAGUAUGGUCGCAAGGCUG
rnacentral:rRNA from 1 species